GGGUAGGUAACCCGUAACUGGAAGCGGUCCUGACUGUAAAUCAGGUGUCGAAAGAUUAUGUUAGUUCAAGUCUAACCCUGCCCA
rnacentral:tRNA from 1 species